AGAGUUUGAUCCUGGCUCAGGACGAACGCUGGCGGCGUGCCUAAUACAUGCAAGUAGAACGCUGAAGGAGGAGCUUGCUCUUCUUGGAUGAGUUGCGAACGGGUGAGUAACGCGUAGGUAACCUGCCUGGUAGCGGGGGAUAACUAUUGGAAACGAUAGCUAAUACCGCAUAAUAGUAGAUGUUGCAUGACAUUUGCUUAAAAGGUGCAAUUGCAUCACUACCAGAUGGACCUGCGUUGUAUUAGCUAGUUGGUGAGGUAACGGCUCACCAAGGCGACGAUACAUAGCCGACCUGAGAGGGUGAUCGGCCACACUGGGACUGAGACACGGCCCAGACUCCUACGGGAGGCAGCAGUAGGGAAUCUUCGGCAAUGGACGGAAGUCUGACCGAGCAACGCCGCGUGAGUGAAGAAGGUUUUCGGAUCGUAAAGCUCUGUUGUAAGAGAAGAACGAGUGUGAGAGUGGAAAGUUCACACUGUGACGGUAUCUUACCAGAAAGGGACGGCUAACUACGUGCCAGCAGCCGCGGUAAUACGUAGGUCCCGAGCGUUGUCCGGAUUUAUUGGGCGUAAAGCGAGCGCAGGCGGUUAGAUAAGUCUGAAGUUAAAGGCUGUGGCUUAACCAUAGUACGCUUUGGAAACUGUUUAACUUGAGUGCAAGAGGGGAGAGUGGAAUUCCAUGUGUAGCGGUGAAAUGCGUAGAUAUAUGGAGGAACACCGGUGGCGAAAGCGGCUCUCUGGUCUGUAACUGACGCUGAGGCUCGAAAGCGUGGGGAGCAAACAGGAUUAGAUACCCUGGUAGUCCACGCCGUAAACGAUGAGUGCUAAGUGUUGGUCUCAUAAGAGAUCAGUGCUGCAGCUAACGCAUUAAGCACUCCGCCUGGGGAGUACGACCGCAAGGUUGAAACUCAAAGGAAUUGACG
rnacentral:rRNA from 1 species